CAUAUCUCUUUCACUGAGAAAAAAUAGGGAAUUGAUAGUUAUGAUGAUGGGAGCAAAUAUGUCAAGUUCCCCUGCAAGUCCACCAUUGACUCUGGAACGUAUCACAAAUUAGAUGUGAGAAAAUAAGUCUAAUCUAAAAUGUGUUCACCAACUUGCUAUAUCAAGGAACACGUAAUGCGAAUAUCUUGACACAUAACCAUUCAUUUUCAAAACUGAUUUCCUAGAGCAGGGGUUCCCAAUCAAGUCCACAAGUACCCCUUACCAGUCCAGGAUUUAGGGAUUACCCUGUUGUGUCUAGAGUGUUCUUUUU